rnacentral:rRNA from 1 species
GUGCCAGCCGCCGCGGUAAAACGUAGGAUCCGAGCGUUAUCCGAAUUCACUGGGCGUAAAGAGCGAGCAGGCGGUCGGACAAGUUGGAUGUGAAAUCUCCCGGCUCAACUGGGAGAGGCCGUUCAAAACUGUACGACUAGAGGGCAGUAGAGGGAGGUGGAAUUCCCGGUGUAGUGGUGAAAUGCGUAGAUAUCGGGAGGAACACCAGUGGCGAAAGCGGCCUCCUGGGCUGUACCUGACGCUGAGAUGCGAAAGCUAGGGGAGCAAACGGGAUUAGAAACCCUGGUAGUCC